GCUACUACCGAUUGAAUGGUUUAGUGAGGACUCCUGAUUGGCGCCGCCGCCCCGGCAACGGAGCAGCGGACUGCCGAAAAGUUGUUCAAACUUGAUCACUUAGAGGAAGGAGAAGUCGUAACAAGGUUUCCGUAGGUGAACCUGCAGAAGGACA
rnacentral:misc_RNA from 1 species